UGAUCUCUACGGAAAUAGAGAUCAGUAGGUCCAGAUUGAGAGGAAUGGCUAGGUCUACUUUUAACGUUGAGGGUGUUUUUUAUCACCUGAUUGGAUCACAGAACUCUUAAAUAUUUAAGAGUUCUGUGGAUUGGGUGCGCUACACGAAAACGGUACAGAGGAAGGACUAGCCUGGCCCAUGGACUAAGCUACUGUUAUAAGCUACUGAAACCAAGGCAUCUGAUUGGCUGAGAGCCAGGAGCUGGGAGCGGUCGUUGCUUAUAUAUGCAACGUGCUUUAUGUUUUCUAACAAUUUGUCUCCGGUCCUUCACGGAAAGAAUACUAGUUUAGUGCCCAAAUCUGUAUGUUAUUUGCUCGCGUGAAUCUGUUCAACUUCAAAGAUGGAUGCCAUACGGAAUGAAAUCUUGUCGUACAAACCAGGCAAGGCUGUACCUUGUGAUGAUGAACGAGUGGUGUUUCCUCCUAAGCUUGUCAUUGGUAUGGUCAAUGACUACAUAGGCGAGAGAGAGGUGCCCGUCUUCAUCAAUGCCAUGAUAGACGCCCUUUAUGUAAAGGAAGGGGCGGACGAGCCUGCUGAGAAACGGCCGGGAUUAUGGAUCACCGAUUCUAUAUCUAUCAUCGUAACAAUUCCACGUCGCACUUGUACUGCUACAUCCAAAGCAGAAAACCUUGCUGAGAAGGUUGCAUGUAUGGUGAAGAUCGUGGACACUUUGGAUAUUCAAGUUACCGUAGAAGAGAGCAAGAAGAUAAUGGAGAUUACAGGUCGCUUCCCUGUCUGUGCCAUACUUAAAAAUGAUGACCCCAUGUUUAUGGAUAAAGCCAUAGAGACCUUAAAGGGGAGCGGGAUGACUGAUCACUACGUAGUACCUUGGCCUAGUAAAACUCGCUCAGAUGUGGAUAAGCUUGAGUGGCUUCGCCUUCUACAUAAAUGCCUCCCAGAAGCUGACAGAAUGUUAGCAGCUAAAGAUCUAAAGAAGACAUCCACGGAUCCAAGAUGUGAGUCGCUUCUUGAGAAGACCAAGAAAGAUUUGGAAGAAGCAAAUCUGGAAAAGAGGUCACUGCAACAACAAAUUAAGGAGCUUGAACAGGAAUUUCAAGAAUUCUUAGCAAGUCCUGAGGGGAACGAUAAGGCUCUGGAGAACUGGAAGCAGAGAACCCAGCGUCGACUAGAAAGUGAGAUACGAUCUGCAGAGCAGGAGCAGUAAGCAGGUACACCUUAAACAGAUGUAGAGUUCCAUUCCCGGGAUGGCUCCGGUAAAACAAGUUCAGGGUGGAGACAUGACUUCCAAGAACCGGGAGGACUUGACCGAUUGAAGUAAAAUUCAACAUCCUGACCAAUCACUGGAGGGAGCGCACUACAGAGAACUAGAGGCUUCUGAAGUGACUUCUAAAGACGUGUCCCCGGAAGAUAUUCAUACUGGUGAUGGUAUGACUAAUUAUGACAGUCAUUUUGAAAUAGCUUAACAGGUAUAUGAUAACAUUUAAGAAUAACGAAAUAAUUAAAUGCAUAAUGAACAGUGUACAGCAUGUUUGCUCAUGUAAAAUACAAUCAGGUCCCUAUUUUUCCAGAUAGUUGCAAUUUCAACUAUCUAUGAUAUUUGAAAUUUAUAUGAAAACAACAACAACAAACAAGGAAAAAGUUAACGUUACGAUGUAACAGAUUCCUCUAAGAACAUUCCCAUAAAACCUUGUAUACUGUGGUGAAAGGGUUUCAGAUACCCUUCCAUUAUGACAUUGCAUUGCUGUAUAUUAUUUGUUACAUGUAUUCCUAAGAUACAUUUGGUGUUAAAGUUAAUAAUGCUUUUGUGUAAUGUUGAUUGUGGUUAUUUCUUAUGUUAUCUUAUUAUAUUUUGUGUAUUUAAUCCUAAGUCUUUGUGUUGGGGGGGGGGGGGGUAACCAAGAUCUUAUUUAUGUUUCAACUGAAUUUUUAUUCAGUUCCCAAGAUAUUUAGAAUAAAAUAGUUAUGUAAAAUGGGAAAAUAUGAAAAAUUAAAA